GCGGACAUAGCUCAAUGGUAGAGCCUCGGUCUUCCAAACCGAUGACGUGGGUUCGAUUCCCGCUGGCCGCUCCA
rnacentral:tRNA from 1 species